UAUUUCCUCUUCCUUCUUUCUUGUUGGAACCAAGGAACCCCUUGUGCUAGAAAUCACAAUUACUGUAGCUAACUAAACAUCUUAUGUAGCACUAAGAAAUUCACUUUACUUCCAUUGUUUUCUUAACCUUGAAUGGAGAUCCCUUCCAAAAGAAUUCAUAGGGAUCAUUUGGGCUCAAAAUUGAGCCCCCAAGGCUCAAUUAGACUUGCAUUGUAUUAUAAGGUGGAGAAACUUCAGCUAGAGGCAAGAACCCGGAGGAGUAGCCCCAUCAUGACCCUUGACUUCCUCCUAAGUUUACUUUAGUACUUAGUGGCGAUGUGACAAGACGAUGUGCUUGGCAGACCAUUGUGUUCUUAUCAUCCGUUUCUCUGUAAAUGUUUAAUUGGUGUGUUCAUAGUUGCAUAUGUAAGGACCUUGGAUCCACUAGUGAAUUUGGUGUACCAAUUCUUGACCUUCUUGUUAUCUUUUAACACUUUGA